rnacentral:rRNA from 1 species
UACGUAGGGGGCAAGCGUUAUCCGGAUUUACUGGGUGUAAAGGGAGCGUAGACGGCGAUGCAAGCCUGGAGUGAAAGGCGGGGGCUCAACCCCCGGACUGCUUUGGGAACUGCAUGGCUAGAGUGUCGGAGAGGCAGGCGGAAUUCCUAGUGUAGCGGUGAAAUGCGUAGAUAUUAGGAGGAACACCAGUGGCGAAGGCGGCUUACUGGACUGUAACUGACGUUGAGGCUCGAAAGCGUGGGGAGCAAACAGG